GCCCCUAUGGCGCAGUGGCUACCGCGUCGCACUUGUACAUCGUACUGAUAUGCGAAGAUCUCUCGUUCGACUCGGGAUGGGGGCA